GAGUUGGGAGAGGAGGAAUGAAGAUAGGUGGGAGAGGGGAGUUCAGGGACACGAUGGGGAACUGAGGAAAAGUUAGGAGGAGUCAGGGGAGGAGAAAGGAAAGAAGCGAGGAGAGAGUCGUCGUGGGAGAAGAAGAAGCUGGAUACUUGGCAAAUAAAAGAACUCCACUGCCCCAGUCUUGAGGACAGAAAGUAAAGAAACCAGAGGGAUGUGCCCAGCCUUCAUUGGUCCACUUCAGCUCUGACCUCAGAAGGAACCAUUGUGAGGUCAUUGACCUGCCCACUUAUAGCUCAGGCUGAGGCUGCCUCCUCUCCUUACACUGCAGUAGCUGUUGGUGAACCACUGCACUGGGAUCCUUGUGAAUUGUUCAGUCUGAACAUAGUGAGUUUUCUUCUACAUUCCUAUGUUUCAGCUGUUCCAUGACAACUCAGUCUCAUAUUUUGUGCCUACUGCUUUGGAAGAUGCUCUUCUUCUCUUCCCAAGCAUUCAAAGUAUCUAACUAGUUGUGGUUUUCCUGUUGACUGAUGUGCUGACCCCAGCAAGUGGCACCAAAGUGAAGGCUCAACUAUGGGGAAGGCAGAGAAGGACACCUCCUGGAAUGCUCAGGAAAAGUGAAAGUGUUGGCAGUGGUGAGU
rnacentral:lncRNA from 1 species